UACGAAGGGGGCUAGCGUUGUUCGGAAUCACUGGGUGUAAAGCGCACGUAGGCGGAUCUUUAAGUCAGGGGUGAAAUCCCGAGGCUCAACCUCGGAACUGCCUUUGAUACUGGGGAUCUCGAGUCCGGGAGAGGUGAGUGGAACUGCGAGUGUAGAGGUGAAAUUCGUAGAUAUUCGCAAGAACACCAGUGGCGAAGGCGGCUCACUGGCCCGGAACUGACGCUGAGGUGCGAAAGCGUGGGGAGCAAACAGG
rnacentral:rRNA from 1 species